rnacentral:lncRNA from 1 species
GAAAAUGUACCAAUAAGUUUUUCAAUUUAAAAAUCUUUUAGUAAUAUUUUUAAUAUUUUCAAUAUUAUUAAUGUUGCUUUUAGGAUUGAAAAACUUCAUCUAUAUAUCUAUCUUAUUAUAAAUCAGUUUAUUUGAAACAAACUUUGUAAACUUGAGGUUAAGUGGAGUAGCUCUAGCUAGACUUCGCCUCAUGUAUAUCGUGUUUGUAAAUUUUUACAGACUAAAUAAAGGCAAUUUAUUAUUAA